rnacentral:rRNA from 1 species
UUAAAUUGAAGAGUUUGAUCAUGGCUCAGAUUGAACGCUGGCGGCAGGCCUAACACAUGCAAGUCGAACGGUAACAGGAAGAAGCUUGCUUCUUUGCUGACGAGUGGCGGACGGGUGAGUAAUGUCUGGGAAACUGCCUGAUGGAGGGGGAUAACUACUGGAAACGGUAGCUAAUACCGCAUAAUGUCGCAAGACCAAAGAGGGGGACCUUCGGGCCUCUUGCCAUCGGAUGUGCCCAGAUGGGAUUAGCUAGUAGGUGGGGUAACGGCUCACCUAGGCGACGAUCCCUAGCUGGUCUGAGAGGAUGACCAGCCACACUGGAACUGAGACACGGUCCAGACUCCUACGGGAGGCAGCAGUGGGGAAUAUUGCACAAUGGGCGCAAGCCUGAUGCAGCCAUGCCGCGUGUAUGAAGAAGGCCUUCGGGUUGUAAAGUACUUUCAGCGGGGAGGAAGGGAGUAAAGUUAAUACCUUUGCUCAUUGACGUUACCCGCAGAAGAAGCACCGGCUAACUCCGUGCCAGCAGCCGCGGUAAUACGGAGGGUGCAAGCGUUAAUCGGAAUUACUGGGCGUAAAGCGCACGCAGGCGGUUUGUUAAGUCAGAUGUGAAAUCCCCGGGCUCAACCUGGGAACUGCAUCUGAUACUGGCAAGCUUGAGUCUCGUAGAGGGGGGUAGAAUUCCAGGUGUAGCGGUGAAAUGCGUAGAGAUCUGGAGGAAUACCGGUGGCGAAGGCGGCCCCCUGGACGAAGACUGACGCUCAGGUGCGAAAGCGUGGGGAGCAAACAGGAUUAGAUACCCUGGUAGUCCACGCCGUAAACGAUGUCGACUUGGAGGUUGUGCCCUUGAGGCGUGGCUUCCGGAGCUAACGCGUUAAGUCGACCGCCUGGGGAGUACGGCCGCAAGGUUAAAACUCAAAUGAAUUGACGGGGGCCCGCACAAGCGGUGGAGCAUGUGGUUUAAUUCGAUGCAACGCGAAGAACCUUACCUGGUCUUGACAUCCACAGAACUUUCCAGAGAUGGAUUGGUGCCUUCGGGAACUGUGAGACAGGUGCUGCAUGGCUGUCGUCAGCUCGUGUUGUGAAAUGUUGGGUUAAGUCCCGCAACGAGCGCAACCCUUAUCCUUUGUUGCCAGCGGUCCGGCCGGGAACUCAAAGGAGACUGCCAGUGAUAAACUGGAGGAAGGUGGGGAUGACGUCAAGUCAUCAUGGCCCUUACGACCAGGGCUACACACGUGCUACAAUGGCGCAUACAAAGAGAAGCGACCUCGCGAGAGCAAGCGGACCUCAUAAAGUGCGUCGUAGUCCGGAUUGGAGUCUGCAACUCGACUCCAUGAAGUCGGAAUCGCUAGUAAUCGUGGAUCAGAAUGCCACGGUGAAUACGUUCCCGGGCCUUGUACACACCGCCCGUCACACCAUGGGAGUGGGUUGCAAAAGAAGUAGGUAGCUUAACCUUCGGGAGGGCGCUUACCACUUUGUGAUUCAUGACUGGGGUGAAGUCGUAACAAGGUAACCGUAGGGGAACCUGCGGUUGGAUCACCUCCUUACCUUAAAGAA